rnacentral:misc_RNA from 1 species
GUACAACCCUGAAGGUCAGGAUGGUUUUGAACCACAAUUCUUAGCUUGUCUCUUCUACUUUGCUGUGGGACAUGGUAGGGCUCAAAAUCCUCCGCCAUAGCUCCACAGAAAAAAAAAGAAAAAAUCUACACUCGUAUCCUUGAAGAAAGAGAAGAGAAGAGAAGAGAAGAGUUAAGUUUGAUACUAAAGACGAAAAGGACAAAAGUUA